rnacentral:rRNA from 1 species
CUCGUAGGCGGCCAACUAAGUCAGACGUGAAAUCCCUCAGCUUAACUGGGGAACUGCGUCUGAUACUGGAUGGCUUGGAUUCGGGAGAGGGAUGCGGAAUUCCAGGUGUAGCGGUGAAAUGCGUAGAUAUCUGGAGGAACACCGGUGGCGAAGGCGGCAUCCUGGACCGAUAUUGACGCUGAGGAGCGAAAGCCAGGGGAGCGAAACG